GCAAGAGGCGAGGGGGAGUAGCCUGUCCUCCAUUAGCGUUAUAUCCCAAGGAGCCUGAAAUGGGCUCUGGUGGAACACUAACCUGUUGUCCAGAAGAGAAAUGUGCAUGGCAGGAAGGCAUACAAAGAAAGGAAGACGGAAAGACGCUUGGGACCCACUGAGGAAGACAGAAAUGCAGGCUCUGGGGCCUCUGAGUACACUCAGUAAAAAAAGGAAGCAGCGGUGGGCAGUGAGUUUUGGGACCUGGAGCUCUAACCCAUCCGUACUGUGCUCCCUGUUGCACUCAUUGCGUUCACUGCAGCAAUGACCUCCUGCCACUUGCUGCGGUUCCUUUUAUUUGCUGUGGUGCCAAAGCCACCUUCCUCACCUCCAACUUGCCGAUAAGCAUGUCGACUUCUAGCUCCGUGAAGUUUCUUUUUUUCCGAAAUGCCAUUGCCAUAAAUUCACCUUUCACAAUAUAUUAGCCAGUCUCAUCUACAAACAUUAGCCGUGGCCCAAUGGUUAAGAUCAUCGUGGGAGACCUAGGUUCAAGACCCUGACUGGACUCCCGGCUAUGGUGUCCUUGAGCAAGACACUGAUACCACGGGCGCUUCAGAUAUCCCUGCUCGAGUGUGUUCCACUAACAAGUGUGUGUCCUCACUGUGAUGGUAAAAUGCAGAGAACAAAUUUCGUGCGCAUGCAUGCAUGUUCAUGACAAUAAAGGUGAUUCUUCUUCUA